rnacentral:rRNA from 1 species
CCUACGGGUGGCAGCAGUGAGGAAUAUUGGUCAAUGGGCGCGAGCCUGAACCAGCCAAGUCGCGUGAAGGAUGACUGCCCUACGGGUUGUAAACUUCUUUUAUAAAGGAAUAAAGUCAGGCACGCGUGCCUUUUUGUAUGUACUUUACGAAUAAGGAUCGGCUAACUCCGUGCCAGCAGCCGCGGUAAUACGGAGGAUCCGAGCGUUAUCCGGAUUUAUUGGGUUUAAAGGGAGCGUAGGUGGGUGGUUAAGUCAGGUGUGAAAGUUUGCGGCUCAACCGUGGAAUUGCCAUUGAUACUGGCAGGCUUGAGGAUAGUUGAGGUAGGCGGAAUGUGUGGUGUAGCGGUGAAAUGCUUAGAUAUCACAAAGAACACCGAUUGCGAAGGCAGCUUACUAAGCUGCUACUGACAUUGAUGCACGAAAGUGUGGGGAGCAAACAGGAUUAGAUACCCGUGUAGUC